rnacentral:rRNA from 1 species
GCAUAUCAAUAAGCGGAGGAAAAGAAACUAACAAGGAUUCCCCUAGUAACGGCGAGUGAAGCGGGAAGAGCUCAAAUUUGAAAGCUGUUGCCUUUGGUAACCGCAUUGUAAUCUCGAGAUCUGUUUUCCGCGCUGGACCAUGUACAAGUCCCUUGGAAUAGGGCGUCAUAGAGGGUGAGAAUCCCGUACUUGACAUGGCCUCCCAGUGCUUUGUGAUACAGGCUCAACGAGUCGAGUUGUUUGGGAAUGCAGCUCAAAAUGGGUGGUAAAUUCCAUCUAAAGCUAAAUAUUGGGGAGAGACCGAUAGCGAACAAGUACCGUGAGGGAAAGAUGAAAAGCACUUUGGAAAGAGAGUUAAACAGUACGUGAAAUUGUCAAAAGGGAACCGUUUGAAGUUAGUCAUGCUUGCCUGGACUCAGCCUUGCUUUUGCUUGGUGCAUUUCCAGGUUAGCAGGUCAGCAUCGGUUUCGACUGCUGGAUAAGGGUAAGAGGAAUGUGGCACCUUCGGGUGUGUUAUAGCCUCUCACUGGAUGCAGCAGUUGGGACCGAGGAACGCAGCGCGCCAUUAUGGCGGACCUUCGGGUACCUUCGCGCUUAGGAUGCUGGCAUAAUAGCUUCAAGCGACCCGUCUUGAAACACGGACC